UUGUGCCCGCUGGCUGCUCGUUGAGGAAUCCUGCUCUCUGUGUUCUACCUGGACUGUAAGCAGCCGAAAGGGAAACCAUAAAACCUGUGUUCCUGUAACAGUGCUAAGUGUUUUACUAUUGGGAGGUUUUGCUGGUCAUUGUUUGCCUUUAUACAGAGCUGAUCAUGUCAUCCCGGUGACGUAACUGUCACAUGGUGCGUGAUGUAAGUAGUUUUCCAGUCAACUACAAUUUUGUAAUUGUCCGUGACUUAUGUUUUAUACAACACCUUAUUGCUAUCUGAUAUAACCUAGGCCUAAUGCUUUUUGAAAGUGAUGUGUGCCUGUGGUAUAAUUGGCAGUUCAUACAUUAGUGCGAGGCAUAUUGACAAUUAUAAACUGGGUGGUACAAGCCCUGAAUUCAGAUUUGGCUGAAAGCCAUGGUAUACCAUGGGUCAUUUUACUGAUCUAAUUACGUUGGUAACCAGUUUAUAAUAGCAAUAAGGCUCCUCAGGGUUUGUGAUAUAUGGCCAAUAUACCACGGCCAAGGGCUGUGUCUAGGAACCCCGCGUUGCAUCUUGCCUAAGAACAGCCCUUAGCCGUGGUGUAAUGGCCAUAUAUCACACCUCCUCGGGCCUUAUUGCUUAAUUCGUGACCACUCAUGUAUGUCAUGUAGCUAAGGAUGUAUGUCCUGAAGGAACCAGUGCAGGACUAGGUAGACCAUGGCAUAUAGACAAUGCUGGUAUGUCAUGUAGCUAAGGAUGUAUGUCCUGAAGGAACCAGUGCAGGACUAGGUAGACCAUGGCAUAUAGACAAUGCUGGUAUGUCAUGUAGCUAAGGAUGUAUGUCCUGAAGGAACCAGUGCAGGACUAGGUAGACCAUGGCAUAUAGACAAUGCUGGUAUGUCAUGUAGCUAAGGAUGUAUGUCCUGAAGGAACCAGUGCAGGACUAGGUAGACCAUGGCACAUAGACAAUGCUGGUAUGUCAUGUAGCUAAGGAUGUGUGUCCUGAAGGAACCAGUGCAGGACUAGGUAGACCAUGGCAUAUAGACAAUGCUGGUAUGUCAUGUAGCUAAGGAUGUAUGUCCUGAAGGAACCAGUGCAGGACUAGGUAGACCAUGGCAUAUAGACAAUGCUGGUAUGUCAUGUAGCUAAGGAUGUAUGUCCUGAAGGAACCAGUGCAGGACUAGGUAGACCAUGGCAUAUAGACAAUGCUGGUAUGUCAUGUAGCUAAGGAUGUAUGUCCUGAAGGAACCAGUGCAGGACUAGGUAGA